rnacentral:lncRNA from 1 species
CGUGUUCAGAGUCAGUAUGUCCUCUGCGUAACCAUGAAUUAUGCUGGGAGUAACAGCACUGAUUUUAUUUAUUUCACAGCCCUGCCUUGGGAGUCUGAAGCACAGGGGUCUGUGCGGAUAACCAGCGUGGAGGGCGAGUUUGCUGCCCUGUUUCAGUGCAACGAUUCGAAGGAAAAGCAACCCUGGAAGAAAGACGGGGGUGGCGGUGCAGCGCGUCUCACCCAUGUGAACGUCCCCGCAAAGAGGACAGUCAGUGCCAAGGAGCAAAGACCAGGACCAGACUAGCCCAAGGGGCCGAGCCCGGGUGGCCAGGGCCGCCCAGCAGUUGAGGCCUGGGAGGAGGGAGUGGAGCCUGACUCCCUCGUGAGCUUUCGUCUCGACUCCUGCCCACGCUCGCACGCCACCCGCCACCCGUGCGUCACGAGAGCCCCGCGCUGGCGGGGAUGGUUCCGCGCGCCCGGCCGCUCCCGCCCGGGUCUCUCCGGCCCGCAGCCGGGGGCGCAGAGGCUGAGCGCGCGCCGCUGGGGGAGCCGCCGCGGGGCCGCUUGGAGAGCCCGGGCCAAGGGCGGCGCGCGGCAGCUGCCUGGGCAGAGGGCCCGGCCGGCCGCCCAGGCGCCUGGGCUGCAGAGGAGUCUCGGUGGAGAAGACGCCCCCUCCGCCCCUGAGCGGCGUCCCAGGAGCCGACGAAGGGACAGCACGCCCCGCUCGCCCCUCUCCUCUUCGCGCCGCCCCGCAGGAGCUUCCCCAAGUGCCCCAUCCACUGCUCCGCUCUCCGCCACCCUCUGCAGAAGCCGCCGCCGCGGGACUGGGGAGUCCACGCUUCAUGGGCCGGCCGUGAAGGGCCGGGCGCCCGGCGAGGGGGCUACCUAG